rnacentral:rRNA from 1 species
GUGAACGCUGGCGGCGUGCCUAAUCCAUGCACGUCGAGCGAACAGACGAGGAGCUUGCUCCUCUGACGUUAGCGGCGGACGGGUGAGUAACACGUGGAUAACCUACCUAUAAGACUGGGAUAACUUCGGGAAACCGGAGCUAAUACCGGAUAAUAUAUUGAACCGCAUGGUUCAAUAGUGAAAGACGGUUUUGCUGUCACUUAUAGAUGGAUCCGCGCCGCAUUAGCUAGUUGGUAAGGUAACGGCUUACCAAGGCGACGAUGCGUAGCCGACCUGAGAGGGUGAUCGGCCACACUGGAACUGAGACACGGUCCAGACUCCUACGGGAGGCAGCAGUAGGGAAUCUUCCGCAAUGGGCGAAAGCCUGACGGAGCAACGCCGCGUGAGUGAUGAAGGUCUUCGGAUCGUAAAACUCUGUUAUUAGGGAAGAACAAAUGUGUAAGUAACUAUGCACGUCUUGACGGUACCUAAUCAGAAAGCCACGGCUAACUACGUG